AGUUCAGAUUGUGGGCUGCAACCCGCCCACAUGAAGUUGGAGUUGCUAGUAAUCGCGGAUCAGCAUGCCGCGGUGAAUACGUUCCCGGGCCUUGUACACACCGCCCGUCACACCAUGGGAGUUGGGAGCGCCCGAAGCCGGUGAGGUAACCGAGAGGGGCCAGCCGUCGAAGGUGAGACCAAUGACUGGGGUGAAGUCGUAACAAGGUAAC
rnacentral:rRNA from 1 species